rnacentral:rRNA from 1 species
UGGGGAAUUGUUCACAAUGGGCGCAAGCCUGAUGACGCAACGCCGCGUGGAGGAUGAAGGUCUUCGGAUUGUAAACUCCUGUUGCCCGGGACGAAAAGCUUCGACCUAACACGUCGAAGUCUGACGGUACCGGGUGAGGAAGCCCCGGCUACCUCUGUGCCAGCAGCCGCGGUAAUACAGAGGGGGCAAGCGUUGUUCGGAAUUACUGGGCGUAAAGGGCGCGUAGGCGGCCUUCUAAGUCGAACGUGAAAUCCCCGGGCUCAACCCGGGAACUGCGUCCGAUACUGGAAGGCUCGAAUCCGGGAGAGGGAUGUGGAAUUCCAGGUGUAGCGGUGAAAUGCGUAGAUAUCUGGAGGAACACCGGUGGCGAAGGCGACAUCCUGGACCGGUAUUGACGCUGAGGCGCGAAAGCCAGGGGAGCAAAC